UACGAAGGGGGCUAGCGUUGCUCGGAAUUACUGGGCGUAAAGGGCGCGUAGGCGGACAGUUUAGUCGGGGGUGAAAGCCCGGGGCUCAACCUGGGAAUGGCCGUUGAAACUGGCGAACUGGAGUGUGGCAGAGGGGGGUGGAAUUCCGCGUGUAGCAGUGAAAUGCGUAGAGAUGCGGAGGAACACCGAUGGCGAAGGCAGCCCCCUGGGCUGACACUGACGCUCAGGCACGAAAGCGUGGGGAGCAAACAGG
rnacentral:rRNA from 1 species